AGGGUGUAAACGCUGCGGGCUUGGUGUUGGGGGUCCUUUGAGGGCGCCCAGUGCCGGAGAGAAGUUGUUAAGCCUGCUGCUUGGGGAGUACGUCCGCAAGGAUGAAACUUAAAGGAAUUGGCGGGGGGAGGCACCGCAACGGGAGGAGCGUGCGGUUCAAUUGGAUUCAACGCCGGACAACUCACCAGGAGCGACGGUUACAUGAAGGCCAGGCUGAUGACCUUGCCUGAUUUUCCGAGAGGAGGUGCAUGGCGUCAGUGACU
rnacentral:rRNA from 1 species